AAUGGGCGGAAGCCUGAUCCAGCAACGCCGCGUGAGGGAUGACGGCCUUCGGGUUGUAAACCUCUUUCACUUCUGACGAAGUCUUGCUCUUGUGGGUGGGGUGACGGUAGGGAGAGAAGAAGCACCGGCCAACUACGUGCCAGCAGCCGCGGUAAUACGUAGGGUGCGAGCGUUGUCCGGAAUUAUUGGGCGUAAAGGGCUCGUAGGCGGUUUGUCGCGUCGGGAGUGAAAGCCCGUGGCUUAACUGUGGGUCGGCUUUCGAUACGGGCAGACUUGAGGCAUUCAGGGGAGAACGGAAUUUCUGGUGUAGCGGUGAAAUGCGCAGAUAUCAGGAGGAACACCGGUGGCGAAGGCGGUUCUCUGGGAGUGUUCUGACGCUGAGGAGCGAAAGUGUGGGGAGCGAA
rnacentral:rRNA from 1 species